CUUUUCUUUCUUUUUCCCUAUUUCUCUACCCAAGCCCUAUUUCUUCCCUAGUCGAACCUUCCUCUCCUCAUCUCAUCGUCGACCGAUCUCCUCUUCCCUCCCGAGCCACUGCCGCCGAGCUCUUCAUUUUCCCUUGCCUUGUCUUCUCUCUCGCGACACCAGACGCCACUGCUGACUCUCGAGCAACGCCGACUUUCCCUUCCUCUUCUCAUGUCGCCCCUAGUCACCACAGCCGACAGUGGUUGCCAGCCACCGAGCGCCACCUGAUCGCCCGUCACCAACCGAGCGCCACUUGACCUUCCCUCAUUCGCGGGCACCCAGAACGUCAAGCAUCCGAGCAUGCCCUAGAUUUCCACCAAACGAGCCGACGCCGGUUGCUGAUAACCAGGUUCUGCUGAGCCACCUAUUUUCCCUAGCCUUGGUUGGACGCCACUGGUUCAGCCUCACAACUUUUAGCACAGUAGGAGCAGUGGCCACCUCCCAUAGCCUAGCUUCUUCCACUGAGUUUUGCUCUGCCAAUCCCUACAGCCAUUCACUAUGGAUCCGUUGUUGAGGCACCAACUUCAUCUAACUCCAGCCCUACCUUACGGCAGCAACCUUCUCCGACAAGCAAUUUUUGGUAGUUGCUCAUCAGUGUCGUGAGCUGUAUCAGUCUUUGCUAGAUCAGCAACCAGCUGUAGGAAGAGAAGCCGAAGGAUCUUGAUUCGAGGCGAGCACCUCAAUGUGGGAUUUGUUUCGAUAUGAUCUUCGUUUUUAAGGCGGGU